rnacentral:lncRNA from 1 species
GGUGCUACCACACCAUGCCAUCAGUGGGCUAGACCACAGCAGCAGCCAGGGUUGGGUCCUGGAAGCUCUUGGCCAGAGAGUGCCUCUCCCCCUGCCACCCAACCAGGUCUUUGGUCGGGGAUCCCAAAGCCAUUCUGGAAAGGGCUCCAAAGGAAGGUCUAGCCUAGGCCCCCACAAAACUAGCAGCCCCCCUCCUGCAUCUCUAGGUUAUCUAAAGAAGCACAGUGUAACUUAGGGUAGGCUCCUGAGCCUGCCUCUGCCUGCCUUCCACCUCCCCAGAUCCCUUUCUCUGGCCCAGUCUUUGGCCCUUGGUUUUCUUUCCAGAUUGGAGGUUUCCAAGAGGCCCUCCAGGGGAGUGAGUGACAGCAGGCACCUCCAAUCUGGGUAGCUGCAGGCCUUUGUGCCUCAUCCUCUGCAGGCCCCCAUCCUGGGCAGAGGGGCCUGGGGCUGGGCCCAGAGUCCAGCCAUCCAGGUGCUCCUUUCCCAGUUUGAAUUCAAUAAAUCUGUCCACUCCCCUUUUGUGGGAGUGAAUGUUUUAACAGCCAAAAAAAAAAAAA